GGUGGUUCAGUGGUAGAAUGCUCACCUGCCACGCGGGCGGCCCGGGUUCGAUUCCCGCCGAUCCA
rnacentral:tRNA from 1 species